rnacentral:tRNA from 1 species
GAGGGUAGGGCUCAGUGGUAGAGCAUGUGCUUAGCAUGCGCAAGGUCCUGGGUUCAGUCCCCAGGACCUCCA